ACUGCUAUUAGAAUGGUUGCAGGGGUGGCUCUUCUAUCAGAUGUACACCAGCAGCUGGCAGAGAAGAGAGAGGUUAUGUCUACCCACAGUGCUCUGACAUAGGAACAUCUGAAUGAUUAGUAGCCUAACACU